rnacentral:tRNA from 2 species
UAGCCGGAUGCUCGCUGGCUUGAGCACUUAGCUGUUAACUAAGAACUUGUAGGAUCGAGGCCUGCCCGUCUAG